AUGCCGAACACUUUGAAGAAACGAACCGUUAUCCGGACCUUAGUGAGCAAGAAUUGCAAGAAAUUCUUGCAAAUAAGCAUUMAGACAAGACUAGAAAGACGACAAAUUGGUCGGUAUCGACGUUCAAAGGUCAAAAUCCGGGAAGAUGUAUGGUCGGUCGACGCUUCUGGGUUUUCGUCAUUCAAUUGAAAGGCAUCUAAAUCAUCCUCCUCACAGUAAAAAUCUCAAGAUUUCAACCGAUCCAAGGUUUACUAGAUCAAACCAGAUGCUGGAUGCACAACUUGUGCACAUGAAGAAGGCGGGGAAAGCAAACGUCCAACACAAACCAGUCAUCGAAGAAGAGGAUCUCGUAAAACUUAGAAGAUCGACUGCAUUUUCGCUCAACAGUCCCGCAUCACUCCUACAAAACGUGUGGUUUCAUAUCGUCCUUUUUUUCUGUAGACGAGGAAGAGAGGGUCAGAGAAGCUUAACUAAGUCGAGUUUUAAGUUUGAAAUUGACGGAGGAGGUCGAAGGUACGUGACGAUGGCGCACGAUGAGCUCAAAAACCAUCAAGGUGGACUCUCUGACACAAGUGAAAGUUCCGAAAAGUAUGCCAGAAUGUACGAGUCAGAGUCUGUAAACGACGGCUAUAAAGCCCUCCAUCUCUAUAUGUCCAAGUUGAACCCAAAAUGCGAAGCAUUUUUCCAGUAUCCCAGAAAAACCUGGCAGCCAUGCGAUGAAGUGUGGUUUGACGCGAAACCUAUCGGUGUCAACAAACUCGACAACAUGAUGAAAACCAUAAGCGAAAUGGCAGGUUUAUCGAAGCUUUACACCAACCACUCAGUGAGAGCUACCGCAAUAACCUUGUGGUCUAAUGCAGGUGUUCCCAAUCGACACAUUAUGGCCAUAUCGGGGCACAGAAAUGAGCAGAGUUUGGCACACUACAACACACGACCUUCAACUGCACAGCUACACAACUGCAGCGAAGUCCUCUCUAGAAAUCUGGUUUCCAACUCAAAUCCCCUUUGCCUUCCGUCGUCUACUGUCACCACUUCAGUUCAGCAAGCCACCAACUUGUCUGUAACCGGAGGAGUUGUCCCCUUGAAUGCCUUGCAGUCAGUUUUUAGCAAUUGUAAUGUUGAAAACGUUCAAGUAGUUUUCCACAACGACAGCGGCCGUCGCUUUGCAAGUUGACU